rnacentral:rRNA from 1 species
UACGUAGGGGGCAAGCGUUGUCCGGAAUCAUUGGGCGUAAAGCGCGUGUAGGCGGUUCGGUAAGUCUGCUGUGAAAUCCCCGGGCUCAACCUGGGAAUGGCAGUGGAUACUGGCAAGCUAGAGUGCGGUAGAGGGUAGUGGAAUUCCCGGUGUAGCGGUGAAAUGCGUAGAGAUGUGGAGGAAUACCGAUGGCGAAGGCAGCCUCCUGGGCCAACACUGACGCUCAUGCACGAAAGCGUGGGGAGCAAACAGG